rnacentral:rRNA from 1 species
CGGCACGCUUAUACAUGCAAGUCGAGGGGCAGCAUAAAUUACUUGUAAUUUGAUGGCGACCGGCGAACGGGUGCGUAACGCGUAUGCAACUUACCUUUUACUAGAGAAUAGCCAAGAGAAAUUUUGAUUAAUGCUCUAUACUCUUAUUAACUCACAUGAGUUUUUAAGAAAAGCUCCGGCGGUAAAAGAUGGGCAUGCGUCCUAUUAGCUUGUAGGUGAGGUAACGGCUCACCUAAGCUCCGAUAGGUAGGGGUCCUGAGAGGGAGAUCCCCCACACUGGUACUGAGACACGGACCAGACUUCUACGGAAGGCAGCAGUAAGGAAUAUUGGACAAUGGAGGAAACUCUGAUCCAGCGAUGCCGCGUGAAGGAAGACGGCCCUAUGGGUUGUAAACUUCUUUUAUACAGGAAUAAACCUAUCCACGUGUGGAUAGCUGAAGGUACUGUAAGAAUAAGGAUCGGC